rnacentral:rRNA from 1 species
AUUGAACGCUGGCGGCAUGCCUUACACAUGCAAGUCGAACGGCAGCACGGGAGCAAUCCUGGUGGCGAGUGGCGAACGGGUGAGUAAUAUAUCGGAACGUGCCCAGUCGUGGGGGAUAACGCAGCGAAAGCUGUGCUAAUACCGCAUACGAUCUACGGAUGAAAGCGGGGGAUCGCAAGACCUCGCGCGAUUGGAGCGGCCGAUAUCAGAUUAGCUAGUUGGUGGGGUAAAAGCCCACCAAGGCGACGAUCUGUAGCUGGUCUGAGAGGACGACCAGCCACACUGGAACUGAGACACGGUCCAGACUCCUACGGGAGGCAGCAGUGGGGAAUUUUGGACAAUGGGCGCAAGCCUGAUCCAGCAAUGCCGCGUGCAGGAUGAAGGCCUUCGGGUUGUAACUGCUUUGUUACGGACGAAACGGACUCUUCUAAUAAAGAGGCGUAAUGACGGUACCGUAAGAAUAAG